rnacentral:rRNA from 1 species
GACAGAGGAUGCAAGCGUUAUCCGGAAUGAUUGGGCGUAAAGGGCGCGUAGGCGGCCUGGCAAGUGGAAGGUGAAAUCCCUCGGCUUAACCGAGGAACUGCCCUCCAAACUGCUUGGCUUGAGUCCGGGAGAGGUGAGUGGAUUUCCCAGUGUAGCGGUGAAAUGCGUAGAUAUUGGGAGGAACACCAGUGGCGAAGGCGGCUCACUGGACCGGAACUGACGCUGAGGCGCGAAAGCGUGGGGAGCGAACAGG